rnacentral:rRNA from 1 species
GACGAACGCUGGCGGCGUGCUUAACACAUGCAAGUCGAACGGAAAGGCCCUGCUUUUGCGGGGUGCUCGAGUGGCGAACGGGUGAGUAACACGUGAGUAACCUGCCCUUGACUUUGGGAUAACUUCAGGAAACUGGGGCUAAUACCGGAUAGGAGCUCCUGCUGCAUGGUGGGGGUUGGAAAGUUUCGGCGGUUGGGGAUGGACUCGCGGCUUAUCAGCUUGUUGGUGGGGUAGUGGCUUACCAAAGCUUUGACGGGUAGCCGGCCUGAGAGGGUGACCGGCCACAUUGGGACUGAGAUACGGCCCAGACUCCUACGGGAGGCAGCAAUGGGGAAUAUUGCACAAUGGGCGGAAGCCUGACGCAGCAACGCCGCGUGCGGGAUGACGGCCUUCGGGUUGUAAACCGCUUUCGCCUGUGACGAAGCGUGAGUGACGGUAAUGGGUAAAGAAGCACCGGCUAACUACGUG